GUGAAGACUUCACUUUCUAGCCGGGAGCUCUGCGCGCCCUGCAUUUGGCCAGACCAGUGUGCGCGCCUUCGAAACGUCCUCUCGCUUUGCUUUUCUUUUAAUUUUUUGUUGGAGGCAAGGAUUCAUUUUAGAAUCAGUCCUGCGAGGACUCAUCCAUGGAACUAAAACGCCAGCCACUUCUCAAGAGAGAGCACGGCAUGGAUGAUCCGAAGCAUGGGAGACUUUGAGACUGCUUUUAAAAAAGCAGUGUUUUUAAAAGGACCCUUUUUCCCCUCCCCACUAAGUUUGGUUUCCAGCCGAAGAUCAGCUCUCUCCCUAGAGUCUUUUUCUCCCCUUCUCCCUUUCCCUCUCGCCCAUCGCUCGCUCGCUCCUCGGAAUGAGAAAGAAGUGGGAAAAAGGCAGAAAUCCAGAGGUCAUCAUUAGAUGUGACAACCACAAACAAAAAAGACUGGGGGCGGCAGCAGCAGCAGCAGCGUUAACAGCAGCAGCAAGCCAAGCCAGCCUAGACCUGCAGCUCGGGAAAGCCUGCGAUUCGAAGAAGGCACACCGAGGAGAGGACCUGCCAGGCUGCUUCCUCCCUUCUCCAGCGCUAGCAACCCACCCCCAAAUCCGCAAGAUAGAUGCUGCCACCAUUUGGUUAAAAUAAGAAUUAUUAUUAAUUAUAUAUUUUUUAAAAAUGCGCUCUGAUGUCUAAUCCAAAAGGAUGAGAAGGGAAGAGCUGGAUCUUCGCAUCUCCAGGGCUGGCUAGCGAGGCCAUCACUUUCCUGUGAGUUCCUCUGGAAUGGGAUUCCCCUCCCUCCUUCCCUCCUCUCCUUCUCCUCCUCCUCCUCUUCUUCGCUGUUGGCUUUACAUCUUAGAGGUGAAAGACUCUUUCCUUCAGCACGACGCAUUUCCCAAUGCAAAAGAGAGGCCUGUGGAAGGAUGGAUGGAUGCUUCACAGCUUGAUACACCUCAAUAGCUGGUUUUAUUUCCUGAUAUGAACAGAUGAACAAUUGGUCCAUUGCUGCUAGACAUCCCUUGCUUGAAAGGAGAGAGGGGCAAAGAGAGAGAGAGAGAGAGAGAGAGAGAGGGAAAAGUUCGGAGUAAAACUUUGAAGGCAACCGAUCUGCUUGGGAUGUGUUUCAGAAGCACACACCAAUACCGUGGCGUUGCAAGGAUGCCCCUUUUAAGACCCGCCUGGUGCCCUCGAAGGAAAAAGUACCUUUGCAGAAGCAACCUGGAUUCUAGCAAGGAGGGGGCCCGAAGAAGUCACCCCCCAACCCAUCCGACUUCACACGAAGGAAGCGAGUUGUUAUCUUUGGUUAUCUAGCUGUAUGAGUGUGUUGGUCUUCAUAAAGCUAGAUAACCGAAAGUAAAAACUCCUUCAAGAUCUUCAGUGCUGCACAAAGAAGAGAGAGAGAAAGAGAGAGAGAGAAAGAGAGGCUCCCAGCAAAGGACAAUACCGAGCCAGCCGGGGCAGGAAUGCGCCCUCCAUGAAUGGCCCCUUCCUGCAGCUCAAGGAAAGAGAGAGAGAGAGAGAGAAAGGAGGAAACUGAAUGACAUACGGGUGCCAAAUAUGUGGGUAUGCAUAUAUAAGCGUGCAUAUAUAGAUAACCAGGCACAGGAUGAUGAUGAUGAUGAUGAUGAUGAAGAAUAAGCCCUGCGCGGCAAAGAGAGGAUGUGGUGCUCAUGGUAAACAAAUGCAUGUGCAAGUUUUAUUGCUGUUCUGCCGGGAGGGGGUGGGAAGUUAAUGCUUUGCCUUGUGAUGUUGUUGCUCAGAGCAAUCCUACACACAGCUGUUCAGAAGUAAGUUCUUGUGAGUUCAGGGAGACUUACUCCUAAGGAGCUGUGUCCUGGAUGGCAGCCUUGGAUGGACAUUUUAGGCACUGUUUACAUUCCCCUCUGCCCUUUGGAGGCUUGAAUUGAACCAUUUAAGGUGUGUCUCUCUCUGUGUGUAUCCUUCAGCAACAGAAUGUGAUGAACUCUUGUCUGGGAAGGGCCUUUCAAAGUAUUGUCAUGGCCGGAAUCGCUGGAUUGUUGUGAGUUUUCCGGGUUGUAUAGCUAUGUUCCAGAAGCAUUCUCUCCUGGCGUUUCGCCUGCAUCCCCAGAGGUUGUGAGACUCCACAACCUCUGAGGAUACUGUUCCAGAAGCACUCUCUCCUGACGUUUCUCCUGCAUCUAUGGCAGGCAUCCUCAGAGGCCCCACAACCUCUGAGGAUACUGUUCCAGAAGCAUUCUCUCCUGACGUUUCUCUUGCAUCUAUGGCAGGCAUCCCCAGAGGUUAUGAGGUUUGUUGGAAACUAGGAAAAUGCUUCCAACAAACCUCAAAACUCUGAGGAUUUCCUAGUUUCCAACAGACCUCACAACUCUGAGGAUGCCUGUCAUAGAUGCAGGCAAAACGUCAGGAGAUAAUGCUUCUGGAACAUGGCCAUACAGCCCUGAAAACUCACAACAAACCAGCCUUUCCAGUGUUGGGAGGCUGAGAAUGUUAUUUCCAGGGGUCAGAGGUAAAGUGCACAAGAAGUGAGAGUAAAAUAAAACAAAACAAAACAAACUUUGCAUUGAAGAGUAAGGCUGGGUUAUUAAUGUUUAUCUUCUGAAGGUUUGGUGAAUUUUCAUAACAUGGGGACGGGGAGGGGGAGGUGAUGAGUGAUGGAAAAAAAGUGGAGAGAGAGAGAGCGAGAGAGAGAGAGAAGGGGGGAGGAAAGGAAACCCGUUUUCUAUUCAAAAUGCAAGCAUAGAUGCUUCUCUGUUCCGAGAGGGUUUCCUUGAGGAAGCUACUGAAGCAGAAAGACGUGAUGGAGACGAGCGGGCCUCCCCCCUCCCUUGUCAAAAUGUUAGAAAAGCAGCCUGUGUCUUCUUCGGCGGGGCUAGCAUUGGAAAUGAAAGUGACAUUUCCUUCCAAACCCACGUGCGCGCCUCCUCGCUCCUUGUGUUUUCAGGAUGAUCAGAUCUAUCCAGGAAACUGCUCUGGCAUCCCAAACAGAAAUAAUUAGGACGUAUAGAGAGGGAGACCUGGCCGGGGAGAGAAAGGGAGAGGGGAAGGGGAGGGGAGGGGUGGGCCCGUCGGAGGGGUCUGGUCUUGCCUAAUUGAUUCCGUUAAACGGAAUGCCUGAGAUGUGAACGGCUGGACGCUCCCAUUCCCACGCUCGGGGCAAGUGGCGAUGCGAUGGCCCGGCAGCCUAUGACAGACAGCCCUGUUGGGGGUUGCCCUCGGAGAAGGGGAAGGGGGGCAGCCUCAAGUGCGCCACACCAGGCUCAUCUCCAUCCCUUAAGAAAGUGCAGGCAUUUCCCACCCACAGCCAUCUGCAGGCUCCCAAGUGGGCAUCCCAACUGUUCCUGGAGCUGCAGACUGUCUGCUUCUGUUCAUUCUGUCACCACCGUUCCAGCAACUCAUAAUCAUGAUGAUAAUAAUAAAAAGGUUUCUUUACUGCUGGGGACAGCCCAGCUCACAAAAGAGAAAAAGGCAAAGAACUGGCUAUGCCUGUCUGAGACAAAUGGCUCAGGCCUGGCAUACAUAACAGACAUGCACACAAUGUUUAUAGAGAAGCUGUCAUUGUCAUUGUUCAGGUUGGGUAGUGUACUUUGUAAGCCCUUCCACACAGCCCUAUAUCCCAGAAUAUCAAGGCAGAAAAUCCCACAUUAUCUGCUUUGAAUUGGGUUAUCUGACUCCACACUUAGAUAAUGUGGGAUUUUCUGCCUUGACAUUCUGGAAUAUAGGGUUGUGUGGAAGGGCCCUGAGUGUGGAUUCAGAUAACCCAGUUCAAAGCAGAUAUUGUGGGAUUUUCUGCUUUGAUAUUCUGGGAUAUAAGGCUGCAUGGAAGGGCCCUGACUGUGUAUGUGCAACGUAAAAUGUAAAGGAGCUGGAUUUGAAAAUGCACUUUUUGGCUCCUUCCACACAGCUGAAUAAAAUCCCACAUUUUCUGCUUUGAACUGGGAUAUAUGGCAGUAUGGACUUAGAUAACCCAGAGCCCUUUCGCACAGCCCUCUGUCCCAGAAUAUCAAGGCAGAAAAUCCCACAUUAUCUGAGUGUGGACUCAGAUAACCUAGUUCAAAGCUGAUAUUGUGAGAUUUCCUGCCUAGAUAUUCUGGGUUACAUGGCUAUGUGGAAGGGCCCCAAAUCCUAAGGAUGUUUUUGCCCUAUACCACAAAAAUAAGAACACAAACAGUUCCACUUCUCCCUGAUACAUGUUAGUACCCCACUAAUAGGAAGCACUCAAAAGGGACAUGCAUUUAGUUCAGUAAGAUAUGUUCCUGAAUUCCCAUAAUAAUGUUAUCCCAGUAUAUUGACUUGAUUUAAGAUCUCCCAGGAUCCUUCCACACAGCCUUAUAUCCCAGAAUAUCAAGGCAGAAAAUCUCACAAUAUCAGCAUUGAACUGGGUUAUCUGAGUCCACAUUCAGAUAAUGUAUGAUUUUCUGCCUUGAUAUUCUGGGGGCCCUUCCACAGCCCUAUAUCCCAGAAUAACAAGGCAUAAAAUCCCAUAUUAUCUGAAUGUGGACUCAGAUAACUCAGUUUAAAGCAGAUAUUUUGGGAUUUUCUUCCUUGGUAUUCUGGGAUAUAGGACUGUGUGGAAGGACCCCCAGUGAACUGGUUGCUAACAUGGAAAUAUAUAUCAAAUAUAUUUCCUUUGUGUUUGUUUGUGUGUGAGAGAGAAAGAGAUAAAUAAGUUGCCAGGAAUGGAGUGCACUUUCCAUUUCUUAAAAAAUAAAUAAAUAAAACCCUAAUCUAUGAUGGGUUGCAAGUAAGGUAACCAAGUAAGGCCUGCAGACAGAAAGGAUUUUGCAGGAGUCUAACUUCCUAUAGUUUGCUCUGAAUUUAGCUUGAUUUGUGGGAAUACUCUGUUGACUAAAGAAAGGGCUGGAUUUUCCACUGCUGUGCACGUGCCAGGGUUUACUACUGUAGUGGCCAAUGAACAGUCCCCUUGUUUAUUUCCUUUAGAAGUUCUGUUUGUGAGCCCAACCUUUCAUUGUUAAGGGCCUUCUGCUUUUGCUUUACUGCAUGUCCAGUGGUGCUGUUUACCUAGAGCCAUUGUCUACUACAAUUAACAUUUACAUUACAAAGUGCAUGGGUUUUCUUUCUCAAAGAGGUUCAAUUAAGGCAAUAAGCUGUUUUCUGGGGGUGUUCUUUUGUUUAGUGCACAACAGUCAAUAGAGUGGACUUGCUUUUACUUUGCCAAAUGAACUCUUGCUUAUAUUUUGAUCUCUUCUGUACAUUUAUGAAGGAAAGCACUUGAGGAUUUCCCCCCCUUUCUGAUAUUAUACUUCUGUGUUAGCCAUUGUCACUUCAGAAUUGUUUUGUACCAUGCUAAUGUUACAUGAGUAUCAAUCAAUAAAAUGCAUUUCAAUGUUAUUUUAUUAUUAUUUAUUUAUCUUUCACCGAUUUGACACAAAUUAGGUUUUUUCUUUCCUUUUUAAGUUUUAUCCCAUGUCCUUUCAACAUCUAAAGAUUGUGAGGUCAUUUUAAAUAUAAUAGAUUUCAUUAAAUUUGUGUUUGAAAAUCUUUCCACCAAGACAAAAAAGUUUGGGAUAGUAAUACUAAUAAGGUGCUAUAUCUUUAGAGCUUGAAAUAGCCUGCCAACACAAAGCUGGGUCAAAGAAGUAUAAAUAUAAUCUGAGUAGCCCUUUGAGGGCUAGCUUUAGCAUUGGGAGACCCCCAGAUCAAGUUUAUUUAGCAUACCAUUGCAUUGUAAAACAGUUGGAGUGAAGUUGCAGGGUUGCGUGAGUAUGCAUGUUAACUAGUGGGAACCAAGUCCCAUUCCUUUUGAAAGGGGAGCAGCAGAUUGCUGUGCAAGGCCAAUGUUAAAAAGGCAGCUGAAUUUAACACCAUCUGGAAGAAAAGAUCCCUUCACGACUUUCUCACACCGUCAGACAAAACUAGUGUCUCUUGUUCUGAGCCCUUGUCUAUGCGGCCAUACAAUACUGAGUCAUUAUACUUUUGCUGAGAGAAAAUUUGAGAACACAAUAUGGGGAACCAGUGAAUGACCAAGUUUCAUUGUGCCCGCUUAAGUCGAUUGAAACCUACGUCUAGAGCCAUGAAUGGCGGCAUUGUUUUCCUCACUGGGGCUAUGCUAAAUGUCAGCACAGUGUAAAGAAAAACUUGAAGUCUGCAAAUAACUUACCAGAUCUCAAUUAUAAUAUUUUCCCACACUAGAACUAAUAUCAUUGCUAGGCCGCACAAUGCACAACAUAACAAAAAAAGCAACUAAAAAGUGUUCAUUUAAAAGUUAUUCCAGGCUAGCAAACUGCCCCCCUCUCCACCCCUCAGUUUAGGAGUUUGAAUGGCUGAGGUAUGGCUGUGGGUAAUCCUCUCUAGAGAAGUUCAAGUUGCAAAACUGCUUCUCCAGGCACCCAGGAAAGAAACAACAUCAAUAAUUUGUUUUCUGAAGAAAACAUUUCAAGUGACUAGUGUCACAGCCAUGUCACCCUAGCAAGUUCGCAAUGCUUAAUUCUUCUCUUUACUACUUUUUAGUGCUGCUGCCCUGUGAAUUUCAAUGAGUUUGAGCUUGACAAAACACCACAGUGAGAGAGGGCUUUCAGGGGGCUCAGGAGAAUGAUGGGGCCUGUCCAUACAGAAUUAGGUGCGACAAUAGUGCUUCACAAUGAAUUACUUGGCUUUUAAAAAAUUGGUGAUGAUAACUUAUAAAACAUCUGAGCAGUUCUGCCUUGGAUUUAGUAUCCUCAGAAUCAAGUGACAGAACAAGAAGCAGAUAUUAAAAAGGAGUAGCAGUUUUAAAAAAAGUUAGUUAGCAGUUUUUGAUGUUUGUUGUCAUCUGUUAUGUUGCAUUUAACUCCUAUUCUGAUUGUCUAUUAUUGUCCACUCGGUGUCCUUAUAUUUCUUUGUUGUCUUAACAAGAAAGUCAAAGCCAACAAUCAGCAUUUUUGCUGCAUAUCCCGGCUGUCACCUCUUUGAGUAAUAAUGGAAUAGGAAACAAAGUGAACAAUAGAAUAUUUUAGAAACCCAUUGUGUGUGUAUUGUUGUUGUUGUGGUAGUUAUGUUUUUUUCAGUUUUUUGACAAGACAAAAAAAGUUUCAUCACACUAAAGAAAAAAUGCACUUAAAAUCUGGUUUCUGCAGAAUUCUGGGAUUUGUAGUUUAGUGAGGCUGUUAAAGGCUCCUCCCCAAACUACAUACCCCAAAAUUCUACAAGAGGCAGACACUGGAUUUUAAGUGGAUUUUUUCUCUAGUGUGACAAGGCCCAUAAGAAUGACCGGUUAAAACUUAAUAUUACACUGGUUAUUUUUGGUGUUACAGCGUAAUCCUAUACAUUCUUACCAGGGAGUAAGUCCAACUGAAUGCAGUAUAACUUACUUCCAAAUAGAUAUGUAUAGGAUUAUUCUGUUGAAAAAUAAAUUUUGGUUAUUUGGACGAGGAUUAAAAAAAACAAACAGAUUAAAUUCUAAAACCUGCCAGGUACAUUGGACUACCAAAAGCACAUGAUGUUCAUAAGGCAACACUGCCACAACUAAUUAUUGGCACCUGUGCAUUUUGGUUCCCAAACAAACAUCUCAUAAACUCCUUAAUGUUAUUGUGAUGCUGUAUCAGUGCUCCUCUGUCAAUGUAGUGGUGGAAUUACAAGGAUGUCAUGUCUGUUGUGAAAGUCUGCUCCUCAUUUAAUUAAAAUGGAUUGUGAAGGAAGUAGCAAACUGAAAGUAAGAACACUAGUCAGAAAAAUAGUCUACUCAUACUUCAAAAAUGUGUAAACAAACAGAUUUUGGAUUAUUCAAAUUGACAUGGAGUACAUUUUAUAACAUGGACAUAUAUGCCAUCCUUUGUUUAUCCACCUCCUCCCUUCUCAUUAGUGUUAGCAGAGUACUGUGAAAUUUUGAAAUCUUAUUACACUUCAGUUUUUCAGGCGAGUGAAAUAUAUGGAGGAGACUUUUGUCAAUAGAUUUUGCCGAAAUUGUGGUUUAAUCAAUAGUACAGAUGUUGUUUCCAGUAGCAAUUAUUUUACAGUCUGGGGUUGGGGACUUAGUAGCACCAAGAGGUUCUUGGAUUGAGAUAGAUAUGCAACACAAUCCUAUCUUUGCUUACUCAGAACUAAAUUUUAGUCAAAUAGAGGUUACGCAUGGAAAAGGGCCUUUCUAUUAAUUUUAUGAGCAUUAUUAGAAUUAGUCAAGCUUAGGUUGAAGUUAAAUACCCAGGUGAAUUGGCAAUGUGUUCCAUACUGAAAAACCAACCCUCCUUCCUUCCUUCCUUCCUUCCUUCCUUCCUUCCUUCCUUCCUUCCUUCCUUCCUUCCUUCCUUCCUUCCUUCUUUCCAACCAACAUUUAAAUUGGAUGGGCCUUCCUUAACUCAAAGUUUUUAGUGAAUUCAGGAUUGGUUAGCUGCAGGCCUUAUACAGAGAUCCACAGCAUAGACCCAGGACCCUGGGAACACACAGCAAAAACCUGUGGGUAGAUGCAUGGCCUUUCUGCUCCUCUGGAUAGCUAAAAGGCAGGAGUGUUUCAGAGAGGAGCAGACCCUUGCUGUGGCUGUUGCUGCUGCUGAGCCUGACUCCAUGCUGGUUGUUCGCUAGCACAGUGCAAUGUGAUCUUACUGCAGCCCUUUAUGAGGAAGGCCGAAGACCAUUCAGAGCAGAACAGACACCAGGCAGCUGGCCUGCUGGAUUCCUGCCGCUUGGUUGUUUAAUACCCGGAGGCUACAGGACAAGGAAAGGAGUGGGGAGGCACCUGGAAAGAGGUUCAGAGUGCAGCACAAAAGAGGGGGCAGAAAAAAAAGGAGAGAGAAGCAUUUAUUUUCAUUUAGGAGUUGAGAAUAUGGGUGCCUCUGCACUGUAGAAUGAAUACAGUUUGACACCACUUUAACUGCCAUGGCUCAAUUCUAUAGUGUGGUGAAGCACCAGCACUCCUUGGCAGAGAAGGCUUUUACCUUUUACAAACAAAAACUCCCAUGAUGUCACAGCACUGGCAUUUCAAGAGGUGUCAAGCUGCAUUUAUUCUACAGUGUGGAUAAACCCUAUGAGCAGGAUAGCCAGGAUGCUUAAUGUGCACAAUACAUGUCUUUCUCCAGUAGGUUCAGGAGAAAGUACUCUCUGAGUGCAUCAAUGCAGUUUGACUGCCACAGCUCUAUGGAAUGAAGGGAGUUGUAGCUGUAUCAAAGAGUGCUGGUGCAUCACCAAACUACAACCCCCAGGAUGCCAUAGCAGGGCACCAUGGCAAUUAAAAUGGAUGGCAAACUGUAUUAAUUCUGUAGUGACUUGGGGGUUCAUCCACACUGUAGAAUUCAUGCAAUUUGUUCUUGGAGACUAAGGCUCAGAACAAGGGCUUCAAAUUACAGGAAAUGAGAUCCCACCUGCACAGGAGGAAGAACUUCCUAACUGUGAGAGAUGUUCAGUAGUGGAACUCUCUGCCCCAGAGCGUGGUGAUGGCUCCUUCUUUGGAAGCUUUUAAACAGAGGCUGGAUGGCCAUCUGUCUGGGAUGCUUUGAAUGCAAUUUUUCUGCUUCUUGGCGGGGGGUUGGACUGUAUGGCCAACGAGGUAUCUUCCAACUAUGAUUCCACGACUCUAUGACUUUAACUGCCAUGGCCCAAGGCUAGGAAACCUCGAAUGUGUAGCUUGGUGAGACACCUCACUCUUUGGUAGAAGACCUUGUGAGAACUUCAGCUCCCAGGAUUCCAUAGCAUGGAAUCAUGGCAGUUCAAAGAGAUGCUAAAUUGCAUUGGUCCUGUAGUGUAGAUGCCCCUUUUGACUUAGGAAUGGGAGGUCUCGCCCAGGCAAGGGCCUGAGGAAAGAGGCAGCCGCUUUUUGCUGCAAUUGCUGCUGCUUUAAGGAUCUCCGUAGCAAUGGCAGCAACCGGGCCGCUGGGCAGUACCAGGCUGCUGUGUGACAAGCACCAGUUGCCUCCCAGGCGCGAGCUGUGAUUGGUGUUUCCCGGGAGACGGGAUGGCUGAGCUCCUAGGCUGGCUGGCGCGCGCGCUCUUUCCCUCCCUCCCUCCCUCCUUCCUUCCUUCCUUCCCUCCCUCCUCCUCCUCCUGCUCUUCCUGAUGAAGAUCCUGCCUCCUUUAGGGCAGCGCAGCAUCUCCCCUGUCCUCUGCCUUGUCAGGUUACACCCUGGUUUGACACCCUAAGAGCCCAUUUCUAGAUCUAAGGUUCCAGUUCUCCAAAUCUUAGGGCUUGUGGUCAUCCUGAGUUGGCGACACCAUUGAAGAUGUCUGAAAUGCACAGAACAAAAGAAUGGCAGUUCCACAUGAUAGUCUUUGAGAGCUGCAAGGAUGCAUCACAUGAAGAACUGUGACAUUUGACUACAGCUUCAAGAUUUUGUGAACUUUUCCAUGGUUACUUUCUGCAGCUGACAAAUAUUCAGCCAUAAUUCUGAGAAUUGGCCUAAGGAAUCUGCAGUAAAAUGUAAUGUAUGUACACUGCACGCAUUCUAUGAAACUGUGGUAAAUAUUAAAAGUUAUUAUGUUUAUUUCAAAGCAACUCCAACUGAGUUCAGUAGAACAUCCUCUCAGGUAAAUAUGCAUAGUUUGUACUGUUGGCAUGAAAUAAGAAUUAAAGAUUCAGCUGUAUGCUGACCUAGCUUAGUGAGCCUGAUAAACUCCAUCUUGACAAUAGCCGACAUCUUCACAUGACCUGUAUGGUUUUGCUGAGCCCUGUCAUUUGUGCUAUGCUAGAAAUUCUGCAGGUGCAUUAUUACAUGCCCAGGGGCUACAGCAAGAAGUUAUGGUUACAUACAGUGCCUGAGAACAGCCUCAUAAACAACAAACAAUCUCUGAGUACAUUCAGUGCUGGUUACAAAGAACUCAAGUAACAAUUACUAAAUAUGCAUUAGGUAUUUCUCAUGCACACUUUGUUGCU